GGGCGGCAGGAUGCGCGGGGGCGAUCGCUCGCCUCCCACCAUGGAGAACUGGAACUUCUGAAAAUUCACCACGACUGGGAAGAGCAGCCAUGGUCUAGAAUUCAGCUGGGAUGUUGACAUCUUUGCCACAGCUUUCCCUCCAGCCCCACGGCAGAUACGUUCUCUAGUGGCUUACUUGAAAGUCGACUGGAAAGUUCUGCCGAGAGGCUCGUCAUGCCGCUGGCACGUCCAGGUGAGAUGGGUGUUGCUGGGUGCACAGAAGAGGUGGUGAUCGAUCCCAGGUAUUGGUAAGACUGAUCAUAGGACCAUGGUGGGGACGGCUGGAUCUGCCUCGCA